rnacentral:rRNA from 1 species
UGAGGAAUAUUGGUCAAUGGGCGCAAGCCUGAACCAGCCAUCCCGCGUGCAGGAAGACGGCGCUAUGCGUUGUGAACUGCUUUUCCAGGGAGAGAAACUUGCGCACGUGUUGCGCAAUUGACGGUACCCUGGGAAUAAGCAUCGGCUAACUCCGUGCCAGCAGCCGCGGUAAUACGGAGGAUGCGAGCGUUAUCCGGAUUCAUUGGGUUUAAAGGGUGCGUAGGCGGACUAUUAAGUCAGUGGUGAAAUCCUGCAGCUUAACUGCAGAACUGACAUUGAUACUGAUAGCCUUGAGUUUGGUUAAGGUAGGCGGAAUGUGUAAUGUAGCGGUGAAAUGCUUAGAUAUUACACAGAACACCAAUUGCGUAGGCAGCUUACUGAGCCGACACUGACGCUGAGGCACGAAAGCGUGGGGAGCGAACAG